ensembl:snRNA U6 U6 spliceosomal RNA
GUGCUCACGUCAGCUGCACAUAUACUAAAAGUGGAACGGUCCAGAUAAGAGUAACAUGGCCCAGACGCAAGGAAAUUCAUGAAACAUGCCAUAUUUUU